GUUUUUUGUUAUUUUGGGCAGGGAGCAGGAAACAUUAGCUGUGGGAGCCUCCCCUGCCAUCUUGCCUUUGUUCCUGGUGGCCAUGGGACAUGGUGUGCAGGAACGGUCACCGUCUGAUCCAUGUGGACACAACCUACAAGGGUCCAUCAUUUUGGUUUUGAUCCUGGUGGUGAACACCUUUUUCUCAGCAAAACUGGAUUCUGGACUGAUUUUCGCAAGCUCAUGCUGCCUGAAGGCUGAAAUGAAGCUGUCACUGAAGGAGCCCACCAGAUCAGAACUGAGGCACCUAGAAAUCUUCACAUGGCUGACACUGCAAGAAGUGCCUGUUCUACCAGCACAGAUUUGUGAAGACAGAAAAUAA
rnacentral:lncRNA from 1 species